rnacentral:piRNA from 1 species
UCCUUACCAAUAUACACUAUGUAUAUACCUC